GCCCAUUCGAGGCAUAUGCGCCAAGCAUGGAGUUCCAAGCCACCACGUGCCUCUCAAACAAACAUUUAGCCUCCUCCAAGCAGCCAUGAGGUGCAUAGCCGUCGAUCAUAGCCGUAAAUGCCACCUCAUUAAGAUCCGGGGCAUCUUCAAAGAGAUUCUUUGCUUGCUCCAUAUGCCCGGCCUGGUGAUCAUGGUCGUCCAUGUUACUAGGGCAUUCUAUCAAAGAGAUCUUUAGCUUCAUCCAGCCGCUGGUUCUGGCAGUGGCCUUGGAUCAUGGCCGUCCACGGCGCGUGAGAGAUGCCCGUUAUGGGUCAUGGCCGUGCUAGAAACGGGGGUUUGCUCCGGCAUGGAGUGGAAUACCGCCUCCGCCUCGCCGAGAUUGCCACUCGGCGAGUACAUCUCGAUCAUCGCGUUCCAGGUGAUGGAAUUCUUUGCAGGGAUGCGAUCGAAGAGCUGCUUGGCGCGCUGCACGUCCCCGGCCGCGGCUUCAGGUCGUGGUUGCAAAUGUAGGCCUGGAGGGUGAGAUUCCAAGAGAAGAGAUUGGGAUCCGAGGUAGAAUCGAAGACCGAUCGCGCUUCCUCCAGGCAGCCGCAGCGGCCAUACAUCUGGACGAGGAGAUUUCGCAGGAAGACGCUGUUGUUGUGGUCGCUGUGAAGGAUCUGGGCGAUGGAUCCGGCGGCCAUUGUCGCAAGAUGUGACGAGGGCGGCAAGCUCUUAUGCGCAUCGCAUCAUGGCCGUUGGAUGAUGGGGACGUCCGAGGUUCAAGUCCUGGCAGGUUCUAGCUUCCCGAUGUUUUUCAUGGCAUCCCCGAUCGCUCAGCUGCACUCCAAAUGCCGGGCGCGCUCGUCAACGACAGAAUUAACUUCCUGGACACAAGUGGAAGAGAGCAGGCUGGUUUUCCGGGCGAUGGAUCAAAAGGAUAUCAUCUCCUAAUGUCUUGCGCAGCUUACGUUUGGGUUGAGCGUCUCAGCGGCAGUGCAAGAUCUAUCCUAUCCGCACUUUCCAAAAGGACAGCACUAUCCAUACUUAUGGAAGCAUCGUCUACGUGAAAUGCACAUCUACUAUACGAUCUACAUCUCGGACGACUGUCCUAAGUCCAUCUACGGGUGGCCAUAGAGACUGGAACCCUCCAAAUACGCUGCGUUCUAGCUGAUAGUCGUCAGCUGCUCUAUACCGAUGGCUUUCCAGUAAGAAACGUGUUUAACCGUGUUA